UCCGGUGGUGUUAGCGGCGGGGAACCACCCGUUCCCAUUCCGAACACGGAAGUUAAGCCCGCCAGCGCCGAUGGUACUUGGGGCGUAGGCCCCCGGGAGAGUAGGUCGCCGCCGGAG
rfam:Actinobacteria bacterium RBG_16_67_15 RBG_16_scaffold_3688, whole genome shotgun sequence.